rnacentral:lncRNA from 1 species
AACGGGUUCUCCCAAAUUUCAAAGUUCAUUUAGGUCCAUAAGCAAAUGUUAGCCAUUAAUAUUUAUGGAUCUUGUUUACUACCUAAGUGCAAAGUCAAUCAAGGCAUUUUCCCACCAGAAAUUUGAAAUCCUCACAUAUCCCUCACCAAUGAUAUCACUUUAUAGAUGAUGAUAACUGAUGAAAUGUGCAGGGGUCAUUAAAAAAAAAAAUUCAACUAAAUGGACUCAGAUGCAUGAUUAAUGCAAUGCCUUUUUUUACACCUCUACUUUUAACUGUUAUUUACUAAGUUGAUUAUCUGCAAUUCUUGUUUCCAAUACUUCCAAGCAUUUAAAAAGCAUGAGUGUUUUAAAAUGUUCGCCAACCAAGUGGUUUUCCAUUGCCUUGCUUCAGGAGACCAUAAAGCAUGUAGGUGAGUGUCUUUUAUGUAUCCAUUCUUAUUACACAUUCAAGACAAAAUCACAAAUCACGUUGUAUAAACCCCUCAACAACAGCGGGAGUUACAGGAAAGGAAAUGAGGUCAAACAGGGAUGUCUUCUGUGUAUAAAAUUAACACAUCUUAUAGGUUAACCGGAAGACAAAGAUAUAGCCAACUACAAAACAGCGGAUUUAAGCAAGAAGAAUUUAUGCAUGUGAACUAGCCCUCUCCAGAAAUUAAGGCCACUGGGUCACUCACUUUCCUAAAAGAAGGAUGUGCUUCAGGUUUGUUAUGAAGAUGUUCUCUCUCUUUCCAUAGAAGGUUCAGUUGUAACAAGCCUGCAUUAGACUUACCAUACUCGCAGACAUAGAAUUCAUUUCUGACAUGUGCUGCCACAUUUACUCUAUAAAAUACUACAAUGAUCACUUUAAUUUGCUGCCUAACGAUUAUUACACGGGAAACAUGUUUGUGCAGAAAGGCAAUUUCGGUGGCUUAGCUCCUGAUUAAAAACUGGUCUUUAGGAGUUCCCGUCCUGACUCAGUGGUUAACGAAUCCGACUAGGAACCAUGAGGUUGCGGGUUCGGUCCCUGCUCAGUGGCUUAAGGAUCUGGCAUUGCCGUGAGCUGUGGUGUAGGUCGAAGCUCUGAUUCGACCCCUAGUCUGGGAACUUCCAUAUGCUGUGGGUGCGGCCCUAGAAAAGACAAAAAAAUAAAUAAAAAAUAAAAACUGGUCUUUGCCUCAGGUAUCUCUUGUAAAUUGGUACAGAAAUUCAGGAAUAAGAGCGUGUUCCAGAAGAGCUUUUAGUGUUCUCCAUCAUACAAUAUUAAUCACUACAUUUUCUUAAAGUACUGAAGAUAUUGAACCACUUGGAGGAUGUCUUACCAAAAAAAUGUGUGUAUGAAAACAGCUUUUACUGUAUUUCAAUAGCUAAUGUAGAACUCAUUAUAGCCAGAACAUUUUAUCAAUGAGAAAAAAAAAAAAAAAAGCAAAUGUACAUAUGUUGACCUCUUUGGGAAUCUCUGAAAUGAAGAACUAUUGAUUCAUUGUGCUUAGGAUCACCCUGAUAACAUCAGCGUUACCAGUAUUUAGAUUCAGAAACACUCAUCUCUAUCUUGUAUCUCAAUGCUUCUCCGUUCCAACUCUAGGAUACUGGAGGGUUAAAAUCUAUUACUUAAACCCUAUUGUUACUUCUGUCUUAUCACUCUCCAUACUUCCAGCAUCUUUUAAUUCUCAAUAUUAAGGGGCGCUGGCACAACACUGGAAAUCCACAAUACAUUAAUAAAAAAUAAAAAUUAAUCAAUUACUUUAAAAAUACUUUUAAUUAACUUUAAAAAUUCCAGUAAGUAGAACCAGAAAUUAGAGAACCACCAUUAAAAGAAACACUUCAGAGCAAAGUCAAUUUGCUUAACUGUCAACACUUACUAUUUAGCUUUUAACCUGGAAAAUAAAUCUACUCUUAAAUUUAGUGCUUUCAGGUAAAACUUUGCUUCCCCUCACCCCAAGGGAAAAACCACCUUUCACUCCCAACAAAAGGUAUUCAUCUAACCAAUUUGAGCAUAAACAACUCAUUUUCACAUGCAAAAGUUCUUGUAUCCUACCAUUUAGCACAUUUAAAUGUGAUUUUUUCCAUUUAAAGUCCAAUUGUAAGGCUUUAGAGAUCCCAGCCUGUGGUCCCUGGAUUAAGAUUUCAUUUCUAAUUAUCAUUUCCUUUUGGUGCUAAUGUGUUUGUUCCUCAUUAGUGCCACUCGCUGGCCUGGAUGUAAACCAGAUUAAAAGAAAUUCCUUUGAUUUUCCUGGUUUCAAAGAUACAAAAGAAUUUCUCACUUUGAAAAUCCCCACAGAGUUUUGGGUGAAGAAUGUAUCACCUCAGGAUGUUGAUACCUUCAUUAUAUAUAACUCACAUUCUUAGGAAUUCCUCAAUCUCAAAAGACCCGGUUACAGUUGCUGCUUUCUUUUGGGGCGAUCUGAGUCUAAUACUAUUAAUUGCACUCAGUUCCUGAAAUAAUAUAACAUACUGUACUUCAUUUUAUGGAUUUUUUUUGGGGGGGGGUCUUUUUAGGGCUGCACCCAUGCCUUAUGGAGGUUCCCAGGCUAGGAGUCGAAUUGGAGCUGUAGCCACCGGCCUACAAAAAUAGAAUCAUGUCACCAAAAAAUUGGAAUAACUUUAAUAAACUUCAUCAGGCUUUGCCUGCUGUGCAUAAUUAAAGUUUAAAAUAAUCAUUUAAACCUAUUUGAAAGUAAUAAAAUAUAAUAAAUUCAUUUAGAGUCAUACAUGUCAACAAUUUUUCCUAUUUUACAAAAUUUCAGAUGAAAUAAAAUAUUAUUGAACAGUAAAGCAUGUGCAAAAGCUAAGGGAUAUUUGCAUCUUUCCAACACAAGAAAAAUAAUGAUGUUUUUCCUGAUCCAGAAAAUCAUGCACAUUAGAAAGAGGCAGGUAUCUAAAGGCAUUUUCUCGCCCCAAAUGAAUUACCUCUACAGUCCAAAUAACAUUUUCUUUGUACUCUCCUUUUAUUUGCAUCAUAUGUAGGAGAUAAGCCAAAAAAAGCAGUCUUAAGUACAACACAAAAAACUGCUCUUUAAAUAUAUUUAGAAAACUACUCUUCAGUAGGAUUUUUUUCAAUUUUCUUAAUUAUUGUACAUUUUAAUGAUCAACAAAACCUGGCCAUACAUGCUAAUUUAAUUGCCAUCCCAAAUAUGUGUAACCUUAACUAAGAACUUCCAAAAUAUCUUAGCAACUGUAAAGUUGAACCUUCAGUAGAUUCUUUUCAAGGGUGGGUCAGAGGGUAAGAUCAAUACUGUAUUGCAAAAAAAAAAAAAAAAAGUUAUUAUAGUUUUAUGUAUGAAUUUAUAUCUGAUGUUUAUGUCUUAUUACCUGUACAAUAGGUAUAUAUGUAAUUUUUCUUUUUCAUAAUUAGGGAAAUAUAUGACUGGAUCACUUCAGGGUACAGCAGAAAUAGAUAGAACAUUAUAAAUCAACUAUAAUAGACAAAAUAAAAAUCUAAAAAAAAAGGAUUAGUCAGGGAAGAAGUAUAUAAUGAAGGGGUGAAAGUAGUAAAUAUGACUCCCUAUUUAUAAAUAUAAUAAGGAAAGACUAUUUUAAAAGAAAUCCCAGGAUUCCAAGAAAAAAUUAUUUGAUCACACAUGACAAGUAAUAAAAAAAAAA